GACGAACGCUGGCGGCGUGCUUAACACAUGCAAGUCGAACGGUGAAAGCGGAGCUUGCUCCGCUGGAUCAGUGGCGAACGGGUGAGUAACACGUGGGCAACCUGCCCCUCACUUCGGGAUAACUCCGGGAAACCGGGGCUAAUACCGGAAAUGACCUCCUUGGGCAUCCUUGGAGGUGGAAAGUUUUUCGGUGAGGGAUGGGCGCGCGGCCUAUCAGCUUGUUGGUGAGGUAGUGGCUCACCAAGGCGACGACGGGUAGCCGGCCUGAGAGGGCGACCGGCCACACUGGGACUGAGACACGGCCCAGACUCCUACGGGAGGCAGCAGUGGGGAAUAUUGCGCAAUGGGCGAAAGCCUGACGCAGCAACGCCGCGUGCGGGAUGACGGCCUUCGGGUUGUAAACCGCUUUCAGCAGGGAAGAAGCCGCAAGGUGACGGUACCUGCAGAAGAAGCACCGGCUAACUACGUGCCAGCCGCCGCCGUAA
rnacentral:rRNA from 1 species